CGUACACUCCUGCGGGAGGCAGCAGUGGGGAAUAUUGCACAAUGGGCGCAAGCCUGAUGCAGCCAUGCCGCGUGUAUGAAGAAGGCCUUCGGGUUGUAAAGUACUUUCAGCGGGGAGGAAGGCGAUAAGGUUAAUAACCUUGUUGAUUGACGUUACCCGCAGAAGAAGCACCGGCUAACUCCGUGCCAGCAGCCGCGGUAAUACGGAGGGUGCAAGCGUUAAUCGGAAUUACUGGGCGUAAAGCGCACGCAGGCGGUCUGUCAAGUCGGAUGUGAAAUCCCCGGGCUCAACCUGGGAACUGCAUUCGAAACUGGCAGGCUAGAGUCUUGUAGAGGGGGGUAGAAUUCCAGGUGUAGCGGUGAAAUGCGUAGAGAUCUGGAGGAAUACCGGUGGCGAAGGCGGCCCCCUGGACAAAGACUGACGCUCAGGUGCGAAAGCGUGGGGAGCAAACAGGAUUAGAAACCCGAGUAGUCCCAUG
rnacentral:rRNA from 1 species